rnacentral:rRNA from 1 species
AUUGGUGGCCUUCGGGAACGUCUGACACAGGUGCUGCAUGGCUGUCGUCAGCUCGUGUCGUGAGAUGUUGGGUUAAGUCCGUAACGAGCGCAACCCUUGUCCUUAGUUACCAGCACGUUAUGGUGGGCACUCUAAGGAGACUGCCGGUGACAAACCGGAGGAAGGUGGGGGAGUGACGUCAAGUCAUCAUGGCCCUUACGGCCUGGGCUACACACGUGCUACAAUGGUCGGUACAAAGGGUUGCCAAGCCGCGAGGUGGAGCUAAUCCCAUAAAACCGAUCGUAGUCCGGAUCGCAGUCUGCAACUCGACUGCGUGAAGUCGGAAUCGCUAGUAAUCGUGAAUCAGAAUGUCACGGUGAAUACGUUCCCGGGCCUU